UCUUGUUAUGCAUACAUGUAUAUCACCCCUUAACAACAUAGUGUCUGUGUUUAAAAACGACAUUAUGACAAAGAGCUCUGGCUUAGUAUUUUUUAUGAUCCUUUUGAUUUGUAUAGCUGGUAAACCAGCAUCAGUUGAUGCGAGAGGUCACCUUGAUGUCCCUUGCAUGAUUGAUUGCUCAAAAUUCUGUCAAGGAAAUCCUAAUUGCUGCGUUAAGGGUCAAUGCAUUUGUAAAGCUUGUCCUCCUCAGAAUAAUGAACUCAUCAUUGACACCAAUUCUCUAUUAAGCUAGAAUGAUGUUAUCUAAUUUGUUAUAAUAUUCCAUUCAAUAAAAAUGACUCUAUAUGGAAUUUA